UAGAUAACAGAAAGUAUAAAACAGAGAGAGGACGAAACACAAUCUACUCGUCUGUGUUUUGUCCUCUCUCUGUUUUAUACUUUCUGUUAUCUGAU
rnacentral:pre_miRNA from 1 species